rnacentral:rRNA from 1 species
AUUGAACGCUGGCGGCAGGCCUAACACAUGCAAGUCGAACGAGUGGCGGACGGGUGAGUAAUGUCUGGGAAACUGCCUGAUGGAGGGGGAUAACUACUGGAAACGGUAGCUAAUACCGCAUACCAUCAGAUGUGCCCAGAUGGGAUUAGCUAGUAGGUGGGGUAACGGCUCACCUAGGCGACGAUCCCUAGCUGGUCUGAGCGGAUGACCAGCCACACUGGAACUGAGACACGGUCCAGACUCCUACGGGAGGCAGCAGUGGGGAAUAUUGCACAAUGGGGGCAGGCCUGAUGCAGCGAGGGCGCGUGUGUGAAGAAGGCGUUCGGGUGGUAAAGCACUUUCAGCGGGGAGGCGUUACCCGCAGAAGAAGCACCGGCUAACUCCGUGCCAGCAGCCGCGGUAAUAC